rnacentral:rRNA from 1 species
GUGGCGAACGGGUGAGUAACACGUGAGCAAUCUGCCCUUGACUCUGGGAUAACUGCGGGAAACUGUAGCUAAUACCAAAUACUUUCCUCGCUGGGCAUCCAGCGGGGAAGAAAGAAUUUCGGUCAAGGAUGAGCUCGCGGCCUAUCAGCUAGUUGGUGAGGUAAAGGCUCACCAAGGCGACGACGGGUAGCCGGCCUGAGAGGGUGACCGGCCACACUGGAACUGAGACACGGUCCAGACUCCUACGGGAGGCAGCAGUGGGGGAUAUUGCACAAUGGGCGAAAGCCUGAUGCAGCAACGCCGCGUGAGGGAUGAAGGCCUUCGGGUUGUAAACCUCUUUUAGCAGGGAAGAAGCGAAAGUGACGGUACCUGCAGAAAAAGCACCGGCUAACUACGUGCCAGCGGCCGCGGUAGUACGUAGGGUGCAAGCGUUGUCCGGAAUUAUUGGGCGUAAAGAGCUCGUAGGCGGUUUGUCACGUCUGCUGCGAAAAUCCGAGGCUCAACCUCGGACUUGCAGUGGGUACGGGCAGGCUAGAGUGCGGUAGGGGAGAAGGGAAUUCCUGGUGUAGCGGUGGAAUGCGCAGAUAUCAGGAGGAACACCAAUGGCGAAGGCACUUCUCUGGGCCGUAACUGACGCUGAGGAGCGAAAGCGUGGGGAGUGAACAGGAUUAGAUACCCUGGUAGUCCAC